rnacentral:lncRNA from 1 species
GCAAAGUAGAAUUAGAUAAAAUGGGCAUUUUUAUGCAUUAACACCAAUACAUUAAUAUUAUAAUCUCAUUGUUAAUAUGCAUCCAAAAUAAAUAAAUAAAAGAGUUUUUUAUUUUACCACAGAAGAAAUACAAGAAAAUUUAUUCUUGAUGUGGUCCCCACAUAGUUCCUCCAUCAUUUCACACACCCACAUCCAUUUGCCAUCUAUUUCUUUUCACAUCGUACCAUCCUGCAUAAACCUGCAAACAAAAAGCCAAAACUAAUAUGUGUUGCAAACAUGAAUUCAUACAUACCAUAUAUUACAUUCAAUUGAAUAAACAUCAAAGGAAACAUUAAUAAAAUUAAACAAUAAUGUUGCCAAACGCAUGAGUUACUCCAUACCACACGUCAAAUCAAUUAAAAGAGGGAAAUGACAAAUUGUUCAAAAUAAGUAAAACGAAUUUUCACAAAUCCAUAUUCAUCAUACACAACAUACCAUGCCAUCAACAUCCAAACUUCAUCACCGUGCCUUGUGAUAAACCACAAUCAAAACAUUGUUAUGCAUAACAGUCACCACUCCAUAUACAACAAAAAUCACCACAACAAAGCAUUUCGUAAAAAAUCCAAACACACAUCCAUCUACAUGUCAUGUGCAAAUCAAGGCAAAUCAAAAUAAUAAUCCAUCCCAACGAAUGUAGCUCAAGACACAUCAACAAUCAUGUUAACAUAUACAUACAUACAUCAUAGGUAAUUUUGGGACCACAAAACUCAUACACAACUCAACAACAUGAUUAACCAACCAACGGAAUCUAAUAUAUACUCAAAAAAAUCACAUGUGUCUUAGCAAUACAAAUCCUCUCAUCCUAUCCCCGAACUUCUCCUAUAAAAAAAGACCUAUGACUGAUUAAUAGGGAAGAGAAAAAAAACAUAUUGUUACCCUACUAAAAUCGAUACCUUCAACCACACCAAAGCUAUAUUUCGGACUUCUUUUCAGAGUUUCACAUUAAAACUCUGAAGAAGACAAGCUUGACCACAAUCAGUAGGAGCAACUGUAACAACACUCGCGGAGGAGCAAAAGAUGUUGCAGAAGAGGAAAGAGAACGAGAGACGUACCCAAAAUGAGUUUGUUCUUCCUUGUUAUUAUCUCUCUCUCACUUUCUCUUUCUUUGUUUUUGCAUCUUUAAAUUGAGUUAAGUUGGUUGUAACAAGAAAUCACCAUAACUGUUAAUGAAAAGUGGGUUUGGGAAAUGUUCAGAUGAGGGUUUAUGUUGCAUGAACUAUUUGAUUGCUGCUUUAUUUUAAUCUUGUUGGUUUGCGCUUUACCGUUACCAUCAUAGGUUGAAGGUUUCUUUGAUCUUUAGGGAUCCCAUGUAGGGGAUUUAGGGUUAGGUGAUUGGUUUCUUUUGUUUCAAUUGUUUUUAUGCUUGUUUGUACAUGUGGAUCAGGAUUUGUGUGUUGGACUUUGAUUUGAUGAAUAUGGUGGUGACAAAGUUUGUUUUCUAAGAUUGAAAAAGGGUUAAAGGUAGAAGUUGAUCUUUGGAAAUCAAAGGGUACGAUAUAAAGGUUUGAGACUAAGCGUUUUCUUUUGUUUCUAUCUCUAUCUCCAUGUGACACGCGUUAACCAAUGGGGGAAUACAGACGAGGGGCUUAAUUGGCUGCUCCGAUGAGAGACGGGGGAGGUCUCAAUUAGUUGGGACCAUGUAUUGGGCUUGAAGUCCAUUUUCAUGUCCAUAUCUCAUUUUCACUUGUUCGUACCCCCAUGCCUGAGAAUGAUGUUGGGCCUUGACUUAUGGCCCAAAACAUCCCAAGGCUGGCAGCAACUUCCCUUUUGUUUUUAGUACUAUUUCUCUUUGUUUUCUUUUAUAUUCCAUGUUUUCUUUUCCACUUAACUAAUUUAAUUAGAUAAUUAUUAUUAGUU